AGAUUGAACGCUAGCGGGAUGCUUUACACAUGCAAGUCGAACGGCAGCGCGGACUUCGGUCUGGCGGCGAGUGGCGAACGGGUGAGUAAUAUAUCGGAACGUGCCCAGUAGCGGGGGAUAACUACGCGAAAGCGUGGCUAAUACCGCAUACGCCCUACGGGGGAAAGGGGGGGAUUCGUUCGGAACCCUCUCACUAGUUGGAGCGGCCGAUAUCAGAUUAGCUAGUGGUAGAGGUAAAGGCUACACCAAGGCGACGAUCUGUAGCGUGGUUUGAGAGGGCGACCAGCCACACGUGGGACUGAGAC
rnacentral:rRNA from 1 species